AGCGAACGCUGGCGGCAGGCCUAACACAUGCAAGUCGAACGAACCUUUCGGGGUUAGUGGCGGACGGGUGAGUAACACGUGGGAACGUGCCUUUAGGUUCGGAAUAACUCAGGGAAACUUGUGCUAAUACCGAAUGUGCCCUUCGGGGGAAAGAUUUAUCGCCUUUAGAGCGGCCCGCGUCUGAUUAGCUAGUUGGUUGAGGUAAUGGCUCACCAAGGCGACGAUCAGUAGCUGGUCUGAGAGGAUGAUCAGCCACAUUGGGACUGAGACACGGCCCAAACUCCUACGGGAGGCAGCAGUGGGGAAUCUUGCGCAAUGGGCGAUAGCCUGACGCAGCCAUGCCGCGUGAAUGAUGAAGGUCUUAGGAUUGUAAAAUUCUUUCACCGGGGACGAUAAUGACGGUACCCGGAGAAGAAGCCCCGGCUAACUUCGUG
rnacentral:rRNA from 1 species